AGAACCUUACCAGCUCUUGACAUGCCCGGUAUGGGCGGGAGAGAUCCCGUCCUUCGGUUCGGCCGGCCGGGACACAGGUGCUGCAUGGCUGUCGUCAGCUCGUGUCGUGAGAUGUUGGGUUAAGUCCCGCAACGAGCGCAACCCUUGUUUGCUGUUGCCAUCAGGUUAAGCUGGGCACUCUGCAAAGACUGCCGGUGAUAAACCGGAGGAAGGUGGGGAUGACGUCAAGUCAGCAUGGCCUUUAUGUCUGGGGCUACACACGUGCUACAAUGGCCGAUACAAACCGUCGCAGAACCGCAAGGUGAAGCUAAUCGGAUAAAGUCGGUCUCAGUUCGGAUAGCAGGCUGCAACUCGCCUGCUUGAAGUUGGAAUCGCUAGUAAUCGCGGAUCAGCACGCCGCGGUGAAUACGUUCCCGGGCCUUGUCACACCGA
rnacentral:rRNA from 1 species